rnacentral:rRNA from 1 species
AUGUCGCCGAAAUUCUGUAAUUGUGCAGGGAAAACAUUUGGCUCCAGCGGGCGCGCAAAAACCGCGCGCGCGGCAUAUCUAGUUCAUCACGCGGGCCGAAACUCCAUCGCACGCCGUUUAUUUGCUGCGCCCGCUCCCGCGCGCUGGACUCUCGCGCGCUCGCUCGCAACUCGACCCCCGUGCAGCCGCGGCGCCGCCGCCGUCCGCACCACCCGGCGACCAUUCCGGCGCUUCCCCUGCCUAUCCCCGCGCCACCCGGCGACUGCUCCGAUGCUUCCCCGGCCUAUCCCCGCGCCGCAGCGGCUUCCUCCGCCCCCUCUAGUCACCGCCGCCCCUCGCGCGCGUCCGUCCUCCGACGAACAGCGCCCGGGCGCUCGCUGCCGCUCGGCACCCGCAAGGUGUUCGACAAAACGCCUGCAAGAAAAUUUUGAUAUGGAAGAGGAGGAGGAUCUUGCAAUGAUCCUAGCUAUGCACAUCAAUAAAAAACCAAAGCACAGUGGUUCGGUUAUGGGUCAGCAGAAAAAUUGGAGGGAUAGGAUCGAUGCCCACAACAGAUUGAUCAGGCAUUAUUUUGCGGAGAAUCCCACAUACCCCGAGUUCCCACUUGGAUCAAUACAUUCAAAAGAAAAUGCACCAUUGAUCCCUAAAGUUGGUGGCAGUCCUCUCUCCAGAACAGUCCUCAAACUUGCGAGUCCUGGUCUACGUAUCACGGUAUCAGGGUAUGUGUUGCGAACACCGCAGCGUACCGCCGUCGCCACGUCAGCGAAGGGCCCGCACUCAAAGAGCCUUGCCGUCAACUGCAACCAUCUCAAGGGCGCCAUCCCGAACUCUGUCACUGUCAGCAACCUCACGGACGCUGCGCGAGCUCAUCAUCUACGACAACUAGCUCGAGGGUGCUAUCUCGGCCUCCAUCGGCCGGAUGGACAGCCUCGAGGUGCUCCGCGGCGGCUGCAACAAGAGCCUCCAGGACGCGCUCCUGCUGGAGAUGGCAACUGCUCCAACCUCACCAUGCUCAGCCUCACCGAGACCAGCAUCUCGGAUCCCCUCCCGGCGAACCUAGGCCAGCUCAAGAACCUCGAGACGCUGACCACCUACACGGCGCUGCUCUCCGCCCCGAUUCCGCCAGAGCUCGGGAAAUGCGUCAGCCUGCAGAACAUCUACCUUUACAAGAACGCGCUGUCGGGCUCCAUCCCGGCGCGUGGCAUGGCAAUCUCGUCGGCGUCAUCCCGCUGGAGCUGGGCAAGUGCACGGGAUUCGACGUCGUCGACCUGUCCAUGA